rnacentral:rRNA from 1 species
UGCCAGCCGCCGCGGUAAUACGAAGGGGGCUAGCGUUGUUCGGAAUCACUGGGCGUAAAGCGCGCGUAGGCGGACUUUUAAGUCAGGGGUGAAAUCCCGAGGCUCAACCUCGGAACUGCCUUUGAUACUGGAAGUCUUGAGUUCGAGAGAGGUGAGUGGAAUACCGAGUGUAGAGGUGAAAUUCGUAGAUAUUCGGUGGAACACCAGUGGCGAAGGCGGCUCACUGGCUCGAUACUGACGCUGAGGUGCGAAAGCGUGGGGAGCAAACAGGAUUAGAUA